UUUGUUACUCUUGUGUUUAAAGUAACUUCUACUAGAAGUCGCACAUAUCUGACCCAGAAAUACAAGAAUUUCACAGUCUCUGAGGAAAUGUGCUGAAGGGAGGUUUUCUGGAGCUUUUCAGCUGGGAAUGAAACCUUCUGCCCAUUUGUUUACCACAGAGGGAGCCCAGGAAAAGGACAAAGUGCUGGAGUGGAGGAGGUGGUGCAGAGGUCACUGCAGGCACCUGCUGUUUCUGGAAGUUUCUGUUUUGAGGUAUAUGCUGACUUUGGACAGGUUCAGUGCCUUCAGCAGCUUUUGCAGGGUGCCAGUUCCACAAUCUGGUUUAACAAAGGCCACUAGUCCAGGAACCUCUUCCAUGGGACCCACAUGAAAAACAGGAGUUGGAGGAGCAGAGUGAAGGUUUGGAACCAUCAAAUCCUAGAGUGGUUUGGGUAGGAAGAGACCUUAAAGAGCAUCUCAUUCCACCCCCUGCUAUGGACAGAGACAUUUCCACUGUCCCAGGCUGCUCCAAUUCCUGUCUAACCUGGCCUUGGGCACUUCCAGGGAUCCAGGGG
rnacentral:lncRNA from 1 species